CAGUCGCCACGGUAAUACGAAGGGUGCAAGCGUUAAUCGGAAUUACUGGGCGUAAAGCGUGCGUAGGCGGUUUGUUAAGUCUGUUGUGAAAUCCCCGGGCUCAACCUGGGAAUGGCAAUGGAUACUGGCAAGCUAGAGUGUGUCAGAGGAUGGUGGAAUUCCCGGUGUAGCGGUGAAAUGCGUAGAGAUCGGGAGGAACAUCAGUGGCGAAGGCGGCCAUCUGGGACAACACUGACGCUGAGGCACGAAAGCGUGGGGAGCAAACAGGAUUAGAUACCCCCGUAGUCCCUGUCUCUUAUAU
rnacentral:rRNA from 1 species